GAAAAACUAACCAAAGCAACACAGUGGAGAACAGAGGAGUGACCGUGACAAAAUGAAGAGAUAACCAACAGUUUUAUCUGGUUUGAGGCAUCUUCGCUCUAAAAAGAGAAAUGAAUGUAUAUAAAAGUAACCAGAGUGGCAGCUGUUCCAAGAACUGUCUGGAUUUCCUGAAUCUUCCUCCUGAGCAACAAGGUAUCAUUGGAAUUGUGCCCCUGGACUGGGUUUGGAUGAAUCGCGUUCAUCUACGUCUUCGACCUGCUCGGACGCAGCUGUAAACUUCCUACAAAAGGGAAACAAACUCCAGUCUCCUGGGUGAAACCAGUUAUGCUGUUUGGUUUGAAGGCGGUGGCGGAGUUAAAGAUGCUAAAGUUUUCUUUGGGAGUGACGAGAACGGACAGGCUUAGGAAUGAGUUUAACUGGAGGGACAGCCAGAGAGGCGAGAUAGAGAUGGUUCGGACAUGUGCGGAGGAGAGACGCUGGGUACAUCAGGAGGAAGAGGCUGAAGAUGGAGCUGCCGGGCAGGUGGUUGGUGCGGCAGAGGAAGACGCAGAAGACAGGAAGAGAUGGAAACCCCAACAGGAACCAAGGGAAGGAGGAAAAUAUGGAAGUGAACACACUAAUAAACACCAAUACUGCAGUCAUUAAAUAUUACAGCAAUGGAUGAGAUUCAGUGGAUCUAUGAAAAGACGCCUCUGCAGGAUGAACAUAAUUGAAACCAGAGAUGUGUGAUGUCCAUUUGUAGUUUCACAACCUUUCACUGGUUCAGUCAGGCGGCUUCUGCCUGCUUUGUUCUGGUCUUCAGUUCAGUUGCAUGAAUAAAAAGCUCUCACAUGUGG